CCUACGGGAGGCAGCAGUAGGGAAUAUUGGUCAAUGGGCGAAAGCCUGAACCAGCAACGCCGCGUGCGCGAUGAAGGCCUUCGGGUCGUAAAGCGCUUUUGGGAGGGAUGAAAAUGACAGUACCUCCCGAAUAAGGAUCGGCUAACUACGUGCCAGCAGCCGCGGUAAGACGUAGGAUCCAAGCGUUAUCCGGAAUUACUGGGCGUAAAGGGCGUGUAGGAGGUUGGGCAAGUCGGCCAUGAAAGCUCCCGGCUCAACUGGGAGAGGCUGGUCGAUACUGCCUGGCUAGAGGGCAAGAGAGGGAGGUGGAAUUCCCGGUGUAGUGGUGAAAUGCGUAGAUAUCGGGAGGAACACCAGUGGCGAAGGCGGCCUCCUGGCUUGUACCUGACUCUGAAACGUGAAAGCAUGGGUAGCAAACAGGAUUAGAAACCCUGGUAGUCCAUGCCAUAAACGAUGUCAACUGGGUGUCGGCGAAGUAAAAUUUGUCGGUGCCGAAGCUAACGCGUUAAGUUGACCGCCUGAGGACUACGAUCGCAAGNUUAAACUCAAAGGAAUUGACGGNUGAGAGUUGCGAGACGACGACGAGGAGAG
rnacentral:rRNA from 1 species